CCUACGGGAGGCAGCAGUGAGGAAUAUUGGUCAAUGGGCUCGCGCCUGAACCAGCCAAGUAGCGUGAAGGAUGACUGCCCUACGGGUUGUAAACUUCUUUUAUAAAGGAAUAAAGUGAGCCACGUGUGCCUUUUUGUAUGUACUUUAUGAAUAAGGCUCGGCUAACUCCGUUCCAGCAGCCGCGGUAAUACGGAGGAUCCGAGCGUUAUCCGGAUUUAUUGGGUUUAAAGGGAGCGUAGAUGGGUUGUUAAGUCAGUUGUGAAAGUUUGCGGAUCAACCGUAAAAUUGCAAUUGAUACUGGCAGUCUUGAGUACAGUUGAGGUAGGCGGAAUUCGUGGUGUAGCGGUGAAAUGCUUAGAUAUCACGAAGAACUCCGAUUGCGAAGGCAGCCUACUAGACUGCAACUGACAUUGAUGCUCGAAAGUGUGGGUAUCAAACAGGAUUAGAUACCCGGGUAGUC
rnacentral:rRNA from 1 species